rnacentral:rRNA from 1 species
UACGUAGGGGGCGAGCGUUGUCCGGAAUCAUUGGGCGUAAAGAGCGUGUAGGUGGACUGGAAGGUCUGGUGUGAAAGCCCGGGGCUCAACCCCGGAGGGUCACUGGAAACCAACAGUCUUGAGUCCGGAAGAGGAGAGUGGAAUUCCUAGUGUAGCGGUGGAAUGCGCAGAUAUUAGGAGGAACACCAAUAGCGAAGGCAGCUCGCUGGGACGUUACUGACACUGAGGCGCGAAAGCGUGGGGAGCGAACAGG